UGCUGUAUCAGUUGCACACCUGGAGG
rnacentral:piRNA from 1 species